UACGGAGGAUGCAAGCGUUAUCCGGAAUGAUUGGGCGUAAAGCGUCCGCAGGUGGCUAUGUAAGUCUGCUGUUAAAGAGUGAGGCUCAACCUCAUAAGAGCAGUGGAAACUACAUGGCUAGAGUGCGUUCGGGGCAGAGGGAAUUCCUGGUGUAGCGGUGAAAUACGUAGAUAUCAGGAAGAACACCGGUGGCGAAAGCGCUCUGCUAGGCCGCAACUGACACUGAGGGACGAAAGCUAGGGGAGCGAAUGGG
rnacentral:rRNA from 1 species